rnacentral:tRNA from 1 species
GCCACCGUGGCCUAAUAGAUAAGGCAUCGGUCUUCUAAGCCGGGGAUUGCGGGUUCGAUCCCCGCCUGUGGUU